GAAAGAUGGUUCUGCUAUCACUCUUGGAUGGACCUGCGGUGCAUUAGCUAGUUGGUAAGGUAACGGCUUACCAAGGCAAUGAUGCAUAGCCGAGUUGAGAGACUGAUCGGCCACAUCGGGACUGAGACACGGCCCAAACUCCUACGGGAGGCAGCAGUAGGGAAUCUUCCACAAUGGACGAAAGUCUGAUGGAGCAACGCCGCGUGAGUGAAGAAGGGUUUCGGCUCGUAAAGCUCUGUUGGUAGUGAAGAAAGAUAGAGGUAGUAACUGGCCUUUAUUUGACGGUAAUUACUUAGAAAGUCACGGCUAACUACGUGCCAGCAGCCGCGGUAAUACGUAGGUGGCAAGCGUUGUCCGGAUUUAUUGGGCGUAAAGCGAGUGCAGGCGGUUCAAUAAGUCUGAUGUGAAAGCCUUCGGCUCAACCGGAGAAUUGCAUCAGAAACUGUUGAACUUGAGUGCAGAAGAGGAGAGUGGAACUCCAUGUGUAGCGGUGGAAUGCGUAGAUAUAUGGAAGAACACCAGUGGCGAAGGCGGCUCUCUGGUCUGCAACUGACGCUGAGGCUCGAAAGCAUGGGUAGCGAACAGGAUUAGAUACCCUGGUAGUCCAUGCCGUAAACGAUGAGUGCUAAGUGUUGGGAGGUUUCCGCCUCUCA
rnacentral:rRNA from 1 species